rnacentral:lncRNA from 1 species
GGUGUGCUUCUGUGUAACUGGUUUGGUAACAGCAGAUCGACUGUACUACUAAAAGACAUCGUUCAAGCAGCAAGACAUCCCUCUAUCUGGCGACAAAAACAUCCCUUUUCUGAGGAGAAAGAAGAAGACUCUCGCGCCAUGGUCUGACUGCUGAUCAAAGCCAGCAUCUGGACGGUGAGGAAGAUUCGGGCCCACAUUGCUGAGGGAGAGCAAGAGGAGAAGCCCAUCUUCACACCAUGUGGUGUUAUUGGUAAGAACAGUAAUUCCAUAGAUAUGCAAAAAUGCUGAUUGUUACCAACUUAUUUACAAUUCUAUGUAAGAACACUUGCGUUACCUAACAAUGCCGUAGAAAAGGGUGCGUUCGUAAAUUGCCUCCAGUGUGUCAGACUGCACUUUGGGUUGUUCGUAAAUUCAGAGCACUCACUGAACGCUCUGGUCGAGAAGGGUUCAUCCGAGCAUUCUGACCAGGCAACGGCAGUCAAGCACCCACGUUAACUGGCUAAAGUUGGCUAGCUUGUCAGCUACUUCCAGACACAAAUGACAGAACACCUCACUGACCAUUUUACUCACCAUGACAGAGCUGGUUAGGCUGUUGUGUUAUCUGGUGCGUUAGUGAGUAGCUGUGUUGUUGGCAACAAUUGAAUAACUUUUUUUUGCCGACGUUUGACACCGGUCAUAUUCAAUGGGUGUUGCGUGUUCGUAAAUUCAUCAGUUAAUUUGCUCUCUGGCACACAGACGAGAGUGCUCUACAAUUGGAGUAGAUGGCUAGAGUGAAUUUACGAACGCACCCAAAUAUGCGCCGUCGAAAAACCGCUCCACCUUUUCCUGUUUGCUAAAAUUCUAAUUGUUCGCCUUUCAGUUUGUGAUAAAACAAAAAUUAUAGUUUAGAGAAUCAUUAUACCAUUCUAAACCACUGAAAUAUAUUUUCCAUAACCAGAAAUGUCUUUUCAGCUGGUGUACAAAACCGAAAGGAAGAUGCAAAAACACAACUUAAGAACAGGAAGUAUACAAAUAACCUGUUAUGGCUAGGAGUUCCUCAAUAUCUGAAAUGGCAGAGCGUGAAAUUCAUUUCAUUUUUUAAAAAUAUUUAACUUUCAUAUAUUCACAAGUGCAAUACACCAAAUUAAAGCUUAACUUCUUGUUAAUCUAGCCAUCGUGUCCGAUUUCAAAAAGGCUUUACAGCGAAAGCACACCAUAUGAUUAUGUUAGGUCAGCGCCUAGUCACAGAAAAACAUACAGACAUUUUCCAGCCAAAGAGAGGAGUCACAAAAAGCAGAAAUAGAGAGAAAAUUAAUCACUAACCUUUGAUGAUCUUAAUCAGAUGGCACUCAUAGGACUUCAUGUUACACAAUACAUGUAUGUUUUGUUCGAUAAAGUUCAUAUUUAUAUCCAAAAAUCUCAGUUUACAUUGGUGCGUUAUGUUCAGUAAUGUUGUGCCUCAAACAUCUGGCGAAUUUGCAGAGAGCAACAUCAAUUUACAGAAAUACUCAUCAUAAUCUUUGAUAAAAGAUACAAGUGUUAUGCAUAGAAUUAAAGAUACUUCUCCUUAAUGCAACCGCUGUGUCAGAUUUCAAAAAAGCUUUACGGAAAAAGCACACCAUGCAAUAAUCUGAGUACAGCGCUCAGCCACCAAAACAAGCCAUACAGAUACCCGCCAUGUUGUGGAGUCAGUAAAAGUCAGAAAUAGCGUUAUAAAUAUUCACUUACCUUUGAUGAUCUUCAUCAGAAUGCACUCCCAGGCAUCCCAGUUCCACAAUAAAUGUUCGCUAAAGUUCAUCUUUAUGUCCAAAUACCUCCUUUUUGUUAGCGCGUUUAGUUCACCAAUCGAAAUUCACAAGGCGCGGGCAGGUCCAGACGAAAGUCCAGGCAAAAAGUAAAAAGUUCUAUUACAGUUCGUAGAAACAUGUCAAACGAUGUAUAGAAUCAAUCUUUAGGAUGUUUUUAUCAUAAAUCUUCAAUAAUAUUCCAACCGGACAAUUCAUUUGUCUUUAGAAAUGGAAAGGAACGCAGCUCGCUCUCAUGGCCACGCGUGACUUAGCUCAUGGCAUUCUGCCAGACACCUGGUUCAAACAGCUCUUAUUCUCUCCCCCUUCACACUAGAAGCCUGAAACAACUUUCUAAAGACUGUUGACAUCUAGUGGAAGCCUUAGGAAGUGCAAUCUGACCCCACAGACACUGUAUAUUGGAUAGGCAAUCACUUGAAAAACUACAAACCUCAGAUUUCCCACUUCCUGGUUGGAUCUUUCUCAGGUUUUCGCCUGCAAUAUGAGUUCUGUUUUACUCACAGACAUCAUUCAAACAGUUUUAGAAACUUCAGAGUGUUUCCAAAUCUACUGAUAAUAUGCAUAUAUUAGCUUCUGGGCCUGAGUAGCAGGCAGUUUACUCUGCUUUUCAUCCGAAUGUGAAAAUACUGCCCCCUAUCCCAAACAGGAUAACGCAUGGAUUUUUUUUAGGCGGCAUUAUAUGUCAUAUUACUUCAUAUAUGUCAUAUUACUUCAUAUGUCAUAUCACUCUGAAUUAGAAAACGUGUUUAUUAUAAACUCGGUGUCAGACUGAGUGACACAUUUUAAUAAAGAUCUACCCCUUAUACUUGCUUUCAAUGAGUACGGUUACAUGCACACAAUCUGGUUAUUGUGGAUAGUCAGAUUAAUAUCAUAGUUCGAUUAAAGUUUACAUGCUUUGCAAAAAUAAUGAUUUCCCCAAAAUAAACCUGUUUACAUGGACACAUCUAAAGUUUGGUGGCACCCUGAUGAAUGCAGAAAAUUGCCAAUCAAAAUAAACAUUCUACCACAGUGACCAUGUUAUUUUUGGGAAGCAUAUUUGAUUCUGAGUUCAGAGCGCUGAUUUAAGAUGUUUACAUGUCCUAAUAAUUCAAAAGAUUGUUCAGAAAACCAGGCGUACAGUUGAAGUCAGAAGUUUACAUACACCUUAGCCAAAUGCAUUUAAACUCAGUUUUUCACAAUACCUGACAUUUAAUCCUAGUAAAAAUUCCCUGUCUUAAGUCAGUUAGGAUCACCACUUUGUUUUAAGAAUGUGAAAUGUCCGAAUAAUAGUAGAGAAUGAUUUAAUUCAGCUUUUAUUUCUUUCAUCACAUUCCCAGUGGGUCAGAAGUUUACAUACUAAUUGAGUGUAUUUGGCAGCAUUGCCUUUAAAUUGUUUAACUUGGGUCAAACGUUUUGCGUAACCUUCCACAAGCUUCCCACAAUAAGUUGGGAGAAUUUUGGCCCAUUCCUCCUAACAGAGCUGGUGUAACUGAGUCAGGUUUGUAGGCCUCCUUGCUCGCACACACUUUUUCAGUUCAGCCCACAAAUGUUCUAUAGGAUUGAGGUCAGGGCUUUGUGAUGGCCACUCCAAUACCUUGACUUUGUUGUCCUUAAGCCAUUUUGCCACAUCUUUGGAAGUAUGCUUGGGGUCAUUGUCCGUUUGGAAGACCCAUUUGCGACCAAGCUUUAACUUAUGUCUUCAGAUGUUGCUUCAAUAUAUCCAUAUCAUUUUCAUUCCUCAUGAUGCCAUCUAUUUUGUGAAGUGCACCAGUCUCUCCUGCAGCAAAGCACCCCCACAACAUGAUGCUGCCACCCCUGUGCUUCACGGUUGGGAUGGUGUUCUUCGGCUUGCAAGCAUCCCCCUUUUUCCUCCAAACAUAACGAUGGUCAUUAUGACCAAACAGUUCUAUUAUUGUUUCAUCAGACCAGAGGACAUUUCUCCAAAAAGUACGAUCUUUGUCCCCAUGUGCAGUUGCAAACCGUAGUCUGGCUUUUUUAUGACGGUUUUGGAGCAGUGGCUUCUUCCUUGCUGAGUGGCAUUUCAGGUUAUGUAGGACUUGUUUUACUGUGGAUUCCUCCAGCAUCUUCACAAGGUCCUUUGCUGCUGUUCUGGGAUUGAUUUGCACUUUUUGCACCAAAGUACGAUCAUCUCUAGGUGACAGAACGCGUCUCCUUCCUGAGCGGUAUAACGGCUGCAUCGUCCCAUGGUGUUUAUACAUGCGUACUAAUGUUUGUACAGAGUAACGUGGUACCUUCAGGCGUUUGGAAAUUGCUCCCAAGGGUGAACAUGACUUGUGGAGGUCUACACAUUUUUUUCUGAGGUCUUGGCUGAUUUCUUUUGAUUUUCCCAUGAUGUCAAGCAAAGAGGCACUGAGUUUGAAGGUAGGCCUUGAAAUACAUCCACAGGUACACCUCCAAUUGACUCAAAUGAUGUCAAUUAGCGUAUCAGAAGCUUCUAAAGCCAUGACAUAAUUUUCUUGAAUUUUCCAAGCUUUUUAAAGGCACAGUCAACUUAGUGUAUGUAAACUUCUGAC